rnacentral:rRNA from 1 species
GAUGAACGCUGGCGGCGUGCCUAAUACAUGCAAGUCGAGCGAACAGACGAGGAGCUUGCUCCUCUGACGUUAGCGGCGGACGGGUGAGUAACACGUGGAUAACCUACCUAUAAGACUGGGAUAACUUCGGGAAACCGGAGCUAAUACCGGAUAAUAUAUUGAACCGCAUGGUUCAAUAGUGAAAGACGGUUUUGCUGUCACUUAUAGAUGGAUCCGCGCCGCAUUAGCUAGUUGGUAAGGUAACGGCUUACCAAGGCAACGAUGCGUAGCCGACCUGAGAGGGUGAUCGGCCAAACUGGAACAGCAAAACGGUCCACACUACUACGGGAGGAAGCAGUAGGGAAUCUUCCGCAAUGGGCGAAAGCCUGACGGAGCAACGCCGCGUGAGUGAUGAAGGUCUUCGGAUCGUAAAACUCUGUUAUUAGGGAAGAACAAAUGUGUAAGUAACUAUGCACGUCUUGACGGUACCUAAUCAGAAAGCCACGGCUAACUACGUG